rnacentral:lncRNA from 1 species
AAAAAUCGCUGUGGAAGCAUUUGGAAAGGGUUACAUGCGAGAAAAUGACUCGCUAAAAAGGUUUGUUUAGUUUAAAGGCAAUUUCAGCCUCAGCUCACCCGUACAACAAGUUUUAAAAGAAGGGAGAAAACCCUCCCACCUCCCUGAUGUGCUGAUCAGAGCUCUUAAUAGCAACCUAAAACAUGAAUAAGUUAAUAAAACUCCCCAUUUUCUCCCGAACAGGGUAGAACUUAAUCCUCAGGCACAGCCUGCCUGAAAAGUUGGAGAUCAUAGAGACAAGAUGAGAUUCGGAUGCAGAGUCAAAACAAACACUUUUUGUAGUUGCCUUUAAAUCAACUCUGGAAAUCAUCAAACUUACAGUCCUGGAGCAAAAUCCCGAUCCUUGUCAGCUAUGGCUGCAACUCUACAGAGAAUGAGGGGCAACAAAGGUUAGUUCAGCUCUGAAGGAGUAAAGGCACUACUUGAUUU